rnacentral:rRNA from 1 species
AUCGAACGCUGGCGGCAGGCCUAACACAUGCAAGUCGAACGAGUGGCGGACGGGUGAGUAAUGUCUGUGCAACCUCCUGUUGGAGGGGGUUCACUAUUGGAAACGGUAGCUAAUACCGCAUACCCUCCGCUGUGCCCAGAUGGCGUUAGCUAGUUGGGGGGGUAUAGGCUUACCAAGGGGACGAUCCCUCCCUGGUCUGAGAGGAUGACCAGCCACACUGGAACUGAGACACGGUCCAGACUCCUACGGGAGGCAGCAGUGGGGAAUAUUGGAAAAUGGGCGAAAGCCUGAUGCAGCCAUGCCGCGUGUAUAAAGAAGAUCUUCGGGUUGUAAAGUACUUUCAGCGGGGAGGCGUUACACGCAGAAGAAGCACCGGCUAACUCCGUGCCAGCAGCCGCGGUAAUAC